rnacentral:rRNA from 1 species
CAAGUCGAACGGAAAGGCCCUGCUUGCAGGGUACUCGAGUGGCGAACGGGUGAGUAACACGUGGGUGAUCUGCCCUGCACUUCGGGAUAAGCUUGGGAAACUGGGUCUAAUACCGGAUAGGAGCCAUCUUUAGUGUGGUGGUUGGAAAGUUUUUUCGGUGUAGGAUGAGCUCGCGGCCUAUCAGCUUGUUGGUGGGGUAAUGGCCUACCAAGGCGGCGACGGGUAGCCGGCCUGAGAGGGUGUACGGCCACAUUGGGACUGAGAUACGGCCCAGACUCCUACGGGAGGCAGCAGUGGGGAAUAUUGCACAAUGGGCGCAAGCCUGAUGCAGCGACGCCGCGUGGGGGAUGAAGGCCUUCGGGUUGUAAACUCCUUUCGCUAGGGACGAAGCUUUGUGUGACGGUACCUAGAUAAGAAGCACCGGCUAACUACGUGCCAGCAGCCGCGGUAAUACGUAGGGUGCGAGCGUUGUCCGGAAUUACUGGGCGUAAAGAGCUCGUAGGUGGUUUGUCGCGUCGUCCGUGAAAUUCUGGGGCUUAACUCCGGGCGUGCAGGCGAUACGGGCAUAACUUGAGUGCUGUAGGGGUAACUGGAAUUCCUGGUGUAGCGGUGAAAUGCGCAGAUAUCAGGAGGAACACCGAUGGCGAAGGCAGGUUACUGGGCAGUUACUGACGCUGAGGAGCGAAAGCAUGGGUAGCGAACAGGAUUA